CUUCUUGUCACAUUAAGGGCUCUGGCAAACAGGUUUAAUAUUCGUGGAAUGAACAGAAUUAUUGACAAGCAGAGGAGGAACUAGACAGCAAGUGAGCAUCAUAUUAAUUUUUCAAAGCUUGAUAUUGCUUUUCCUGCUGACAGUGCAACAAACUUCCAAGGCUGGCAUUGCUGAAGCAAGGUUGGGUAGUGGUGGCUUGUUUCUCCUUGAUCUUGGUUUUCUGCUAUUCUGUCAAGUUGGAGGAGAGAAGGGAAGAGGGAGAAAAAUUGUGGUGGCUCAGAGGAGACACUCGGAUGCCAUGGAGAUGAGCAGAGACCUUGUCUGCUUUCCAGAGCCCAUCCUAGAAAGCGGGAUCUUGCCGGAGGGAUGAGGUGCUCACACGGAGGAGCAGCUCUUCAUUCCUGUCCACGGCACAGAAGCGUGGGCACUGCUGUGAUUGUGCUGCUCUGAGGACAAGACUCACUCUCCUUUUGGGCAGAAAACCUGGAAUUUUGGAUUUAACCAUGGUCAAAGUGUCCAGGACAUGGUGGGUUUGCAACCAGUUCUCAAUUGCUUUUAUUGUUAUCUGUCGCAGACAUCCUUUAUGGAAAAUCCUUUCCUUGGGAUUUUUCC
rnacentral:lncRNA from 1 species